rnacentral:rRNA from 1 species
GCAUUUUCACAGCAAGGGCCCGGGCAAGACCGGUGCCAGCCGCCCGCGGUAACACCGGCGGCUCGAGUGGUAACCGUUAUUAUUGGGUCUAAAAGGGUCUGUAGCCGGCCGGAUAAGUCUCUUGAGAAAUCUGGCAGCUUAACUGUCAGGCUUUCAGGAGAUACUGUCUGGCUCGAGGCCGGGAGAGGUGAGAGGUACUUCAGGGGUAGGGGUGAAAUCUUGUAAUCCUUGAAGGACCACCAGUGGCGAAGGCGUCUCACCAGAACGGACCUGACGGCAAGGGACGAAAGCUAGGGGCACGAACCGGAUUAGAUACCCGGGUAGUCCUAGCCGUAAACGAUACUCGCUAGGUGUCGGCCACGGUGCGACCGUUGUCGGUGCCGUAGGGAAGCCGUGAAGCGAGCCACCUGGGAAGUACGGCCGCAAGGCUGAAACUUAAAGGAAUUGGCGGGGGAGCACCACAACGGGUGGAGCUUGCGGUUUAAUUGGAUUCAACGCCGGAAAUCUUACCGGGACCGACAGCAAUAUGAAGGCCAGGCUGAAGACUUUGCCGGAUUAGCUGAGAGGUGGUGCAUGGCCGUCGUCAGUUCGUACUGUGAAGCAUCCUGUUAAGUCAGGCAACGAGCGAGACCC